rnacentral:lncRNA from 1 species
CGGCAGGGUAGGGCAAUCUCAGCCCGUUGGCGUGCUGUUCUGAAUCGCUGUUCAGAAUUCCCACCUGCACACAACCCGCCCCGGGUCUGCAGGUCAGGAAGGCUGUUAAAGCCAGCCAAGGCUUCAGCUUUCAGGCUUCCUCUCUCAACGGGGCACCUGGAAGCCAUACCCCUUUCUGGAAGCACCUUCUGGGCCAGCAUGGCCCAGGGUUCACGACAGUUGCUUCUCAGCCACCCCAGUGAUGAGCGUGAGCUCAGGAAAAGAGAGGAACAGGACCAGAUCAAGGGCUCACCCAGCCCCCAGCCCCUUCUGCCAUGGAGGGAGCAGGCAGAGUGCGUACAGCCACUGGUCUACACGAAACACUUCUAGAAGCUGCUCAGCUGGACAAGGUGGCAAAAAGAGGCAGAUGCAAGCCUGGAGAAGUCCCACUCUGGGGUGGGGGCAGGGAAGGGGACCCACCCCAAUCAGCCCCUUCUCACCUCUGUCGGCUCACCAGGCACCACUCCCCUACCCAGACUCACCCAGAUUCUCCUGCCUGGACCAGCCUGCCAAGAGCAGACAGUCCUCCCUGCCAUCCUGUGUUCCAAAGCCUGCUUGGUGGGGGCCCCUGGAGGGAGAAUGGCCCCAGAAGAGAGUGUAACCAGGAGACCUAUCCCCUCCCUGGAUGCCACAUUGCACCCGGGCGGUCAUGAGGGCUACAGGGCGGCAAGGGGAGAAGCUGGAACCUGCAGGGGGAACAACCCUGAGGACAGCCCCAAGGAGAGACCACGGCCCAGACCAGGCUAGAGCCUUGACCAGGCAGGGUUAGGAGGGAGUGAGACAGGGUGCCACCUCUGGAGGGCUUCUGGAGAGGGGGACACACAGAUGGCACCAGGAGCCCAUCUGCUGGGGGCAAGCGGCCUGAGACCUGGUCCCCAGGAGCAGAGGAGGGGUCCAGCCACAGACGCCCGCCGGGGCUCUUCUUCCCUACUAAGCCUGGGGAGGGGGUGUCUGGUCACCCUGUGGGGAGUGGCCCCCACAUCCUACAGGUCCUGUCUACUCUGAGUCAGGGGGACGGGGGAGCUGACCACUCCAACACCACAGCCGGCCCCCCCCACCCCCCACUCUCCCUGGUGCCUGCUCCCCCAGGAGGGUGGGCCGGACCUAGAUGAAGUGAAGGGCACAGCGCCCCUCAGGAUGGGACGGCCACCCACAGAGAGAGAGCCUCGGCAUUUCAAUGACGGUGACAGCUCUAGAGACCCUUGGAGGUCCCGCACGGCCCCUGGUCUGGGCAGCCACACCCCACUCCAGGGCGCAGGGCCAGGGCACUGACGGGCACCCGCUGGAACCCUGAUGGAGCAGUGAGCCAAAGGGGGCAGCCGAUAAGUCA